GUGGGGAAUAUUGGACAAUGGGGGGAACCCUGAUCCAGCCAUGCCGCGUGUGUGAAGAAGGCCUUAUGGUUGUAAAGCACUUUAAGCGAGGAGGAGGGUACUGGUAUUAAUACUACCAGGUACUGGACGUUACUCGCAGAAUAAGCACCGGCUAACUCUGUGCCAGCAGCCGCGGUAAUACAGAGGGUGCGAGCGUUAAUCGGAUUUACUGGGCGUAAAGCGUGCGUAGGCGGCUAAUUGAGUCGGAUGUGAAAUCCCCGAGCUUAACUUGGGAAUUGCAUUCGAUACUGGUGAGCUAGAGUAUGGGAGAGGAUGGUAGAAUUCCAGGUGUAGCGGUGAAAUGCGUAGAGAUCUGGAGGAAUACCGAUGGCGAAGGCAGCCAUCUGGCCUAAUACUGACGCUGAGGUACGAAAGCAUGGGGAGCAA
rnacentral:rRNA from 1 species